CCAAGCCUCUCCAGAACUUGUUGACCAGGAGGUUACAAGGUGGAAGUUGAAGUAUGACAGAGUGCCUGAAUCACAGAGGCCAAACACCCCAGCAAGUUCCCUGAAAGAGUGUGACCGAGACAUGUACCCCAACCUGCAYGUCCUGCUCCGGCUGGCCUGUACGCUCCCCGUCACAUCCUGCGAGUGUGAGCGCAGUGCCGGUGCCCUUCGUCGCCUCAACAACUACAUGCGGGCAUCGAUGGGUAAGGAGCGUCUCUCUUCACUGGCACUGCUUCAUAUUCAUUACAGCAAGCACGUUGACCUUGACAGCAUUGUUGAUGUGUUUGCAAAGAAACAYGCAAGAAGGAUGGAGUUGGACUGUCUUCUUUAUCCAGAUUGAGAUGGUGGACUUUGCAUUGUAAAUAAAGGUUUUGCAAAACUA